ACGAACGCUGGCGGCAUGCCUAACACAUGCAAGUCGAACGAGACCUUCGGGUCUAGUGGCGCCCGGGUGCGUAACGCGUGGGAACCUGCCCUUAGGUUCGGAAUAACUCCCCGAAAGGGGUGCUAAUACCGGAUAAUGUCUUCGGACCAAAGAUUUAUCGCCUUUGGAUGGGCCCGCGUUGGAUUAGCUAGUUGGUAGGGUAAAAGCCUACCAAGGCGACGAUCCAUAGCUGGUCUGAGAGGAUGAUCAGCCACACUGGGACUGAGACACGGCCCAGACUCCUACGGGAGGCAGCAGUGGGGAAUAUUGGACAAUGGGCGAAAGCCUGAUCCAGCAAUGCCGCGUGAGUGAUGAAGGCCUUAGGGUUGUAAAGCUCUUUUACCCGGGAGGAUAAUGACAGUACCGGGAGAAUAAGCUCCGGCUAACCCCGUG
rnacentral:rRNA from 1 species